AUGCCCAUGACCCUGGGAUACUGGGACAUCCGAGGGCUGGCCCACGCCAUCAGCCUGCUCCUGGAAUACACAGAUUCAAGCUAAGAGGAAAGGAAGUACUCUAGGGAGGAUGCUCCUGACUAUGACAGAAGCCAGUGGCUGAAUGAAAAAUUCAAGCUGGGCCUGGACUUUCCCAAUCUGCCCUACUUGAUUGAUGGGACUCACAAGAUCACCCAGAGCAACGCCAUCCUGCGCUACAUUGCCCGCAAGCACAACCUGUUUGGGGAGACAGAAGAGGAGAAGAUUCUUGUGGACAUUAUGGAGAACCAGACCAUGGACAACCAUAUGCAGCUGGCCAUGAUCUGCCACAACCCAGAAUUUGAGAAACUGAAGCCAAAAUACUUGGAGGAAUUCCCUGAAAAGCUAAAGCUCUACUCACAGUUUCUGGGGAAGCAGCCAUGGUUUGUAGGAGACAAGAUCACUUUUGUAGAUUUUCUCGUCUAUGAUGUCCUUGACCUGCACCAUACAUUUGAGCCCAAGUGCUUGGACGCCUUCCCAAACCUGAAGAACUUCAUCUCCUGAUUUGAGGGCUUGGAGAAGAUCUCUGCCUACAUGAAGUCCAGCCGCUUCCUCCCAAGACCUGUGUUCACAAAGAUGGCUGUCUGGGGCAACAAGUAAUGCCUUGAAGGCCAGGAGGUGGGAGUGAGGAGCCCAUACUCAGCCCUCUGCCCAGGCUGUGGAGCGCACUGGACUCUGCAUCCCAGCACCUGCCUCCCCAUUCCUUUCUCCUGUUUAUUCCCAUCUUUACCCCCAAGACUUUAUUGUCCCCUCUUCACUUCCCCUAAACCCCUGUCCCAUGCAGGCGCUUUAAAGCCUCAGUUACCCACUUU